AUCGUAGCUGGGCAUGUUCAGUGAAUGGGAUGAUUCCAAGUGAAAGACUCGCGAGUUCGAGUGAAAGACUUGUGUGAGUUCACUCAAAAAACUCGUGAGUCCUUGGGAAGGACUCGCUAGGACUUGGCUUGCGAGUCCUUGGCGAGUUGACUCGGCCCACCAAUGGACUCGCGAGUCGACAUGGCCCACCAAUGGACUCGCGAGUCGACAUGGCCCACCAAUGGACUCGCGAGUCUUGGCGAGUCCCACAAGUUUUAAAACUAUGUUCCAAAGAGAGCAAAGGGACCACUAGAGAGGGCAUUUAAUAAUGACGCUAGAGAUAUUGCCGAUAAAUCUCUUGUUAGUUGCUUUUAUGCAAACAGUUUAUCAUUCAAUGUGGUUCGACCCCCCUAUUGGCAAGACAUGGUAAGAAAAAUAAAUGAAGCUCCAGAGGGGUACAAGAGCCUUGGUUAUGAGAGGGUGCGUAUGAUUUUAUUGUGGAAGGAGGUCAAACAUAGAGAAAUUGCAUUAGCUCGCAUUAAGGCUUCAUGGAAAGAAAUAGGCUUGUCUAUUAUUUCUGAUGAAUCGAAAGAUGCGAAAAAUAGACCAUUAAUUAGUGUGAUUGUAGUGUGCCCUAAAGGGGCAAUGUUUCUAAAAGCUUUAGAUUGUGAAGGGCAAGUGAAGAAUGCACAAUUUAUUGCUGACAUCAUUAUACAGUGCAUUAAUGAAGUAGGUCCUCAAAAUGUUGUCCAAGUUAUAAUAGACAAUGCAAAGAAUUGUAGAGCAGCUGGUAUGUUAGUUGAGACACGAUUCCCCACAUAUAUUUUGGACACCUUGUGUUGUGCAUUCACUCACCCUCAUGCUAUAGAAGUUAGGUACGAAAUUAGGUUGGAUCAAAGAAGUCUAUGCUGAAGUUGAAGAGAUCCAAAUGUUCAUAUCAUACCAACACAUGUCACAAGCUAUUUUUAGACCAUUCUCGUGACUAGGGCUAUUAAAGGUUGCUGAGACUAAAUUUGCAUCCAACACAAUCAUCUUGAGACGACUUGUGAAGGUUCGAGAGGCACUUUCCAGUAUGGUCAUCAGCCAAGCAUGGAACAUAUGGAGGCAAUCCAAUAUUGAGAGGGCAGCAAAUGUGAAGCAAAAGAUUCUAGAUGACACUUGGUGGGAUCGUGCAAAAUAUCUUCUUAGUUUCAUCGAGCCCUUCUUGUGUUUGAUCUGCUAUAUUGACAUGGAUAAGCCAUGCUUGGGGGAAGUUUAUGAUGAAAUAGACUCAAUGAUUGAGAAACUAAAAUUCAUCAUAAAUACAAAAGAGCAAGACCUUGAAGAAACCUUCUUCAAAUAGGUGCAGUCAAUUUGUGUUUAGUGAUGGAACAAAAUGACCACCCCACUCCAUCUUCUUGCCUACUCAUUGACUCCCAACUAUUAUAGUGAAGAGAUCCUUGCUAUGCCAACAAGGGUGCCACCAUAUCGUGAUACAAAAGUUGGUGAGGGGUUUAGGAAAGCUCUUACUCAACUCUUCCCUGAUGCUAAAACGGAAGAUGCAAUUACAAGUGAAUUUGCUGAUUUUGCAGCCAACAUUGGUCAUAGUCCUGUUGCUCUUCGUGACAAGUAUAAGAAGAAUGCUCACUCUCGGUGGUACCCCAAUGGCCACAAAUCGCCACACCUCCAACUUCUCACGAUCAAAGUUUUAUCACAAGUUGCUAGUUCUUCUUCAGCUGAACGAAAUUGGAGUACAUACUCCUUCAUCCACUCAGUGAAGCGCAAUCGAUUGGCAUCAAGCAAAGUAGAGGAUUUAGUCUACAUACAUUCCAACUUGCGCCUUCUUACUCACAAAAAUGAUGAGUAAAAGGAAGGGGCAAAGAAGUUGUGGGAUGUAGAACUAGAGUGUACUGACUUGGAUCUUUCUAUUGUUGCAUGAUCUUCAGUUAUUGAGGAGUCAAGUAGCCAACACACUUUUAGUGCAAGUGGUUGUGGGGCUCCACCAUCUAAUGUUAAUGUUGAUGGCAAUCUUGAUUUUGAUGACGACCCAUAUGAUGCUGAUUAGUGAACUCAGAACUGAUUACUGAUUAGUGAUUGUAGUUUGAUCUUUUUGAUAUUG